rnacentral:rRNA from 1 species
UACGUAGGGUGCAAGCGUUAAUCGGAAUUACUGGGCGUAAAGCGUGCGCAGGCGGUUAUGUAAGACAGAUGUGAAAUCCCCGGGCUUAACCUGGGACCUGCAUUUGUGACUGCAUUGCUGGAGUGCGGCAGAGGGGGAUGGAAUUCCGCGUGUAGCAGUGAAAUGCGUAGAUAUGCGGAGGAACACCGAUGGCGAAGGCAAUCCCCUGGGCCUGCACUGACGCUCAUGCACGAAAGCGUGGGGAGCAAACAGG